rnacentral:rRNA from 1 species
GACGAACGCUGGCGGCGUGCUUAACACAUGCCAGUCGAACGGUGAAGCGCCUUCCUUUUUGGUGGGUGUGGAUGAGUGGCGAACGGGUGAGUAACACGUGAGUAACCUGCCCCCUUCUUCUGGAUAACCGCAUGAAAGUGUGGCUAAUACGGGAUAUUCUGGGUCUGUCGCAUGAUGGGUCUGGGAAAGAUAUUGUUUCGGUGGGGGAUGGGCUCGCGGCCUAUCAGCUUGUUGGUGGGGUGAUGGCCUACCAAGGCGGUGACGGGUAGCCGGCCUGAGAGGGUGGACGGUCACACUGGGACUGAGACACGGCCCAGACUCCUACGGGAGGCAGCAGUGGGGAAUAUUGCACAAUGGGCGGAAGCCUGAUGCAGCAACGCCGCGUGCGGGAUGACGGCCUUCGGGUUGUAAACCGCUUUCGCCUGUGACGAAGCGUGAGUGACGGUAAUGGGUAAAGAAGCACCGGCUAACUACGUG